AUUGAACGCUGGCGGCAGGCCUAACACAUGCAAGUCGAACGGUAACAGGAAGAAGCUUGCUUCUUUGCUGACGAGUGGCGGACGGGUGAGUAAUGUCUGGGAAACUGCCUGAUGGAGGGGGAUAACUACUGGAAACGGUAGCUAAUACCGCAUAACGUCGCAAGACCAAAGAGGGGGACCUUCGGGCCUCUUGCCAUCGGAUGUGCCCAGAUGGGAUUAGCUAGUAGGUGGGGUAACGGCUCACCUAGGCGACGAUCCCUAGCUGGUCUGAGAGGAUGACCAGCCACACUGGAACUGAGACACGGUCCAGACUCCUACGGGAGGCAGCAGUGGGGAAUAUUGCGCAAUGGGCGAAAGCCUGAUGCAGCCAUGCCGCGUGUGUGAAGAAGGCCUUCGGGUUGUAAAGUACUUUCAGCGGGGAGGAAGAAAGGAGAAUUAAUAUCUGCACUCAUUGACGUUACCCGCAGAAGAAGCACCGGCUAACUACGUG
rnacentral:rRNA from 1 species